CUACGGGAGGCACCAGUGGGGAAUCUUAGACAAUGGGCGCAAGCCUGAUCUAGCCAUGCCGCGUGAGUGACGAAGGCCUUAGGGUCGUAAAGCUCUUUCGCUGGGGAAGAUAAUGACGGUACCCAGUAAAGAAACCCCGGCUAACUCCGUGCCAGCAGCCGCGGUAAUACGGAGGGGGUUAGCGUUGUUCGGAAUUACUGGGCGUAAAGCGCGCGUAGGCGGAUCAGAAAGUUGGGGGUAAAAUCCCGGGGCUCAACCCCGGAACUGCCUUCAAAACUCCUGGUCUUGAGUUCGAGAGAGGUGAGUGGAAUUCCGAGUGUAGAGGUGAAAUUCGUAGAUAUUCGGAGGAACACCAGUGGCGAAGGCGGCUCACUGGCUCGAUACUGACGCUGAGGUGCGAAAGCGUGGGGAGCAAACAGGAUUAGAUACCCGAGUAGUC
rnacentral:rRNA from 1 species